ACGAACGCUGGCGGCAUGGAUUAGGCAUGCAAGUCGUACGCUUGUAGCAAUACAGGAGUGGCGAAAGGGUGAGGAACACGUGAGUAACCUACCCUCAAGUUGGGAAUAGCUCCGGGAAACUGGAAUUAAUACCGAAUGUGAAUGUUUUUCCGCAUGGAGGAACAUUUAAAGAUUCAUCGCUUGAGGAUGGGCUCGCGUCCCAUUAGCUAGUUGGUGAGGUAACGGCCCACCAAGGCAAAGAUGGGUAGCUGGUCUGAGAGGAUGGUCAGCCACACUGGAACUGAGACACGGUCCAGACUCCUACGGGAGGCUGCAGUCGAGAAUCUUCGGCAAUGCGCGAAAGCGUGACCGAGCGAUGCCGCGUGCAGGAUGAAGAGCUUCGGUUUGUAAACUGCUGUCACCGGGGACGAAUUUUGACGGUACCCGGAGAGGAAGCCACGGCUAACUACGU
rnacentral:rRNA from 1 species